GGAACGUCUCCCUGUUGGUGUUCCCUCCCACUCGGGCCACUAAAUUAACGGCAUUCGAGUCUGGUGAAGAGGAUGCUGAGGGGGGACCUCGUUGAUCUCUACAACUGCCUGCUGCCUCUGCAGAGAAGUCAAGAUGGUACAAGCAACUGAAAGCGUGAGCUUUAGCAAGAGAAGAGCCUUGCUACAGUUCUACAGAUACUUAAGAAUACAGCUCCCAAGAGA